rnacentral:rRNA from 1 species
AUGGCGGCAGAGGCGGCGGCUAUCUCGGCCGCUGUGAGGAGCGGCAGCGCAAUCAUCUUAGGCAGCCUCAACACCAAGGUCAGAAAAGAUAAGGAGCUUCGGAGGGCACUGGGGAUAAAUAAGGAGUGGAUCAAGACGGAGAUGGAAUUGUUAUCGUUACAAGUCGGAGCUGGGCACGGGCUGAGCGAGGAGGAGGAGAAUGGCCGCAGCGAAGCUUGGCAGGUAUGGGCUCAGAAAGUUCGGGAGCUCAGGUACCAAAUAGAGGACUGCAUAGUUUCCUAUGAAGGCAGGGUCAGUUGCAGGUGGGACGCGCCGUGGUAUCGCCGCAAGCUUCACCCGGCAAUGACUCUGCCCACCCGCACUAGAUAUGCCAAUCGAUUUGCCAAACUCAGGGAGCGGGUUGUGGGAUUAGUUCAGCAGAGAGACGCGCAUGUCCAGAGCACCACACCUGCCAACGCUGCAUAUGAUUAUGAAGCGACCAUCUACACCAAACCCAAGAAUGUCGAGGGCAUCGACAAGCCCAAGAAUGCCCUCCUUGAGCUGUUAGACCUGAAAGCGGUACAACCGGAGGUGGUCCAACCCAGGUCCGAGAUUGUAGAGGUGGCCGACCGCCAAGCUCAUGCUCAUCACAAACUCAAGGUGAUCUCCAUCGUGGGGUUCGCGGGCCUGGGAAAGACCACCCUUGCCGAGUCCGUGUUCCAUAGUUCUGACAUCACCCAGCGGUUCACCCGCCGGGCGUGGGUGGCAGCGUCGAGCCACGGGAAAACAAGGGAUCUUCUAGUGGACAUAAUCAAUCAGUUUAAUCUGGCAGAAACAAUCAACACAAAUGCCCUUCAGCCUCAGCAUAUACUGGCAGAACAUCUCAAUGCAUGUUUGCAGAAUGGACCCAGGUACUUUGUCGUAAUCGAUGACCUGCAAACAGAACCACGCGAAUGGGAUGCCUUGAAAUCUGCCUUCCCUACGAGGGGAGCUCAUGGAAGAAUUAUUGUUACCACACGUAAUCAGUCGAUGGCUACAAGGUGCAGUUCCAAUGGUGGCUGUGUUCAUCAAAUGCAACCUCUUGACAGGGCUGACUCUAGGGCCUUAUUUCUCAAGGAAGUUUUCAGCGAUACAUGUACAUCUUGUACACCUGAGUUUGAGGGAGGUUUAGCAACCAUCUUGGACAAAUGUGAGGGUUGGCCGCUUGCUUUACUCGACAUCGCUCAGCUACUGAAGGGAUCUCGUGGAACACCGACUGGUUUCGACUGUCGGGAUAUCUGUGACGAACUAGGUUCUCAUCUGGAUUGGCAUCAAACCAAAGACUUGGAGAGAACAAGAAAAGUGAUUGUCGAUAGCUUCAGCUUCAACCGUAAAGAUGAUGGGUGCCUCAAGACCUGCCUGUUGUAUGCAAGCAUACACCAGAAAUUCCUCCGAACCAAAUGGAAAAGUCUACUCAGGCGAUUGUCAGUAGAAGGUAAGAGCAGUGUCACUCGCACCCAGUUUGAAGAGUUGUUAGGAAAAGGCGAGAGAAGUGUCGUUCAUGGCCAAAUCAAAGAGCUGUUCAACCGAUGUAUCAUUCGUCGCCGGAGCAGUAGGCAAAACUAUAAGGUGAAGACAUACCAGAUUGGCCAUGUACUCCUCGACUUCAUGAUCUGCAAGCAAGCCUACAGAAACUUCAUCACUCUCAUUCACGACGGCCAACGUCGCCCUUAUGGUGGGAAGAAAGACACUGCCGUUCGUCGACUCUACCUGAGCGGCAAAACCCCAAAGAUUGGCCGAGUGGUAAUGGCAGAGAGUUCUAAGAAAGAUAGCUUAUCCAGCAUCAGGUCACUGACAAUCGCUGAUCACCACGGCGAUGAAUUGGUGGAUUUUGACAAGUAUAAGAUGCUACGAGUCUUGGAUGUAGAAAACUGCAAGAAGGUCAAUGACACGGAUCUCAAGAAGAUUUGUAAGCUUGUGUACCUCAAUUAUCUGAACCUGAGAGGUACCAAUGUGAGGACGCUUCCAAGGAAAGCCUCCAAGCUACAUCACUUGCAGAUACUGGACAUGAGGGAGACCAACGUGGAGGCAGCAUUGCCUUUGGAGGUCCUAGUUCUGGGACAGCUAGUCCACCUGUUUGGCCGAUUUAAGCUGCAUCCUGAGCUAAGCAAAGUUGGCACAGGGCAUCGUAAGGUGAAACUUUUGGAGAGAGAUAGUAAACUUAAAACAUUUGCAGGAUUUGUCCUUGACGGCUGCGAUGGCUUUCAACACAUCAUGUCUGCCAUGAAGACACUGAAGAAGGUUAAGGUAUGGUCUGGGCCUACUCAAGGAAAUGACUUAGUUGAGUGCUUGGUCCCUUCCCUUCAGAAGCGCUUUACGGAAGAUACUGCCCUGGAGUCACUGUCAAUUGAUUUCGGCAAUGACUCCAUCGACUUCCUCGGCUGCCUACAGGGUCCAUGUGCUCUCGAAUCAAUCAAACUGCAUGGUAAACUACUAGGAUUGCCGGACUUCUUUUUUGAAGAUGGAUUUCAUGUUCAAGAGGUGCAACUCUUGAAAACCGGUUUGAGCUGCCAAGAUUUGUCAGCCCUGCAGAAUCUGGAUUCAUUGCUCUAUCUGAAGUUGGAUGAGGAUUCAAUCAUCUUUACUAGCGGCACCUUUACCUUCCGUCGGGAUGGAUUCAAAAGCCUUAAGGGGCUGUGCUUUCAGGCCCCAAUGCUUCCGAAAGUGGAGGUCAUGGAAGGAGCCAUGCCGUCUCUUGAGUCUCUUCAGCUGUUUUCCCAGCGUAUACAAGGCCUGGAUGUGUCUUCUAUGGACCGUCUCCAGCAUCUCAAGGAAGUCACUCUUCACUCUCUUGUUGAUGCAGAAACAAGGCAUUCUUGGGAAGAUGAAGCAAAGAAGCACAGAAACAGGCCAACAGUUAUUGUUGCUUAA